rnacentral:rRNA from 1 species
AUUGAACGCGUGGAGCAGGCCUAACACAUUCCAGUCGAGCGAGCGGCGGGCGGGUGGUUACUGUAUGGGGAUCUGCCUGCAGGAGGGGGAUAACUACUGGAAACGGUAGCUCAUACCGCAUACCAUCCGAUGAACCCCUAUGUGCUUAGCUUGUAGGUAAGGUAACGGCUUACCUAGGCGACGAUCCCUAGCUGGGCUGAGAGGAUGACCAGCAACACUGGGACUGAGACACGGCCCAGACUCCUACGGGAGGCAGCAGUGGGGAAGAUUGCACAAUGGGCGCAAGCCGGAUGCAGCCAUGCCGCGUGUAUGAAGAAGGCCUUCGGGUUGUAAAGUACUUUCAGUCGGGAGGCGUUACCGACAGAAGAAGCACCGGCUAACUCCGUGCCAGCAGCCGCGGUAAUAC